rnacentral:rRNA from 1 species
AUUGAACGCUGGCGGCAGGCCUAACACAUGCAAGUCGAGCGGAUGACGGGAGCUUGCUCCUUGAUUCAGCGGCGGACGGGUGAGUAAUGCCUAGGAAUCUGCCUGGUAGUGGGGGACAACGUUUCGAAAGGAACGCUAAUACCGCAUACGUCCUACGGGAGAAAGCAGGGGACCUUCGGGCCUUGCGCUAUCAGAUGAGCCUAGGUCGGAUUAGCUUGUUGGUGAGGUAAUGGCUCACCGAGGCGACGAUCCGUAACUGGUCUGAGAGGAUGAUCAGUCACACUGGAACUGAGACACGGUCCAGACUCCUACGGGAGGCAGCAGUGGGGAAUAUUGGACAAUGGGCGAAAGCCUGAUCCAGCCAUGCCGCGUGUGUGAAGAAGGUCUUCGGAUUGUAAAGCACUUUAAGUUGGGAGGAAGGGUUGUAGAUUAAUACUCUGCAAUUUUGACGUUACCGACAGAAUAAGCACCGGCUAACUCUGUG